rnacentral:rRNA from 1 species
GAUGAACGCUAGCUACAGGCUUAACACAUGCAAGUCGAGGGACCGGCGUACGGGUGAGUAACGCGUAUCCAACCUUCCCAUUACUGUGGGAUAACCUGCCGAAAGGCAGACUAAUACCGCAUCGUAAUGGAUUGGGAUGCGUCUGAUUAGCUUGUUGGAGGGGUAACGGCCCACCAAGGCGACGAUCAGUAGGGGUUGUGAGAGGAAGGUCCCCUGCAUUGGAGCUGCGACACGGUCCAAACUGCUACGGGAGGCAGGAGUGAGGAAUACUAGUCGAUGAACGGAAGUCUGAACCAGCCAAGUAGAGUGCAGAAUGACGGCGUAUGGGUUGUAAACUGCUUUUGAAUGAGGAUAGGUACCAGAUGAAUAAGGACCGGCUAAUUCCGUGCCAGCAGCCGCGGUAAUUC